rnacentral:rRNA from 1 species
GAUGAACGCUGGCGGCGUGCCUAACACAUGCAAGUCGAACGUGAGGAUGCAGCAAUGUAUCUGAAAGUGGCGAACGGGUGAGUAACGCGUAGGUGACCUGCCCUGAAGUGGGGGAUAACCACUGGAAACGGUGGCUAAUACCGCAUGAGCCUCACGGGAUGGGAAUUUUGUGAGGGAAAGCUUUAGUGCUUCAGGAGGGGCCUGCGACCGAUUAGCUAGUUGGUGAGGUAACGGCUCACCAAGGCGAUGAUCGGUAGCUGGUCUGAGAGGAUGAUCAGCCACACGGGAACUGAGACACGGUCCCGACUCCUACGGGGGGCAGCAGUGAGGAAUAUUGCACAAUGGGGGCAACCCUGAUGCAGCAACGCCGCGUGGAGGAUGAAGGUCUUUGGAUUGUAAACUCCUUUUCUGCGGGAAGAGGAAGGACGGUACCGCAGGAAUAAGUCACGGCUAACUACGUG